rnacentral:rRNA from 1 species
AAUAUUGGACAAUGGGGGAAACCCUGACGCAGCGACGCCGCGUGAGCGAAGAAGGCAUUCGGGUCGUAAAGCCCUGCCCUAAGGGAAGAAACGGACGGUACCUUAGGAGGAAGCCCCGGCUAACUACGUGCCAGCAGCCGCGGUAAUACGUAGGGGGCGAGCGGCAUCCGGAAUUAUGGGGCGGAAAGGGUGCGUAGGCGGCCUUUUAAGUCAGAUGUGAAAGGCUACGGCUUAACCGUAGUUAGCAUUUGAAACUAAAAGGCUUGAGUGCAGGAGAGGAGGGUGGAAUUCCUAGUGUAGCGGUGAAAUGCGUAGAUAUUAGGAGGAACACCAGUGGCGAAGGCGACUCUCUGGACUGCAACUGACGCUCAGACACGAAAGCAUGGGGAGCAAACAA